UACAGAGGGGGCAAGCGUUGUUCGGAAUUACUGGGCGUAAAGGGCGCGUAGGCGGCCUUCUAAGUCGAACGUGAAAUCCCCGAGCUCAACCCGGGAACUGCGUCCGAUACUGGAAGGCUUGAAUCCGGGAGAGGGAUGCGGAAUUCCAGGUGUAGCGGUGAAAUGCGUAGAUAUCUGGAGGAACACCGGUGGCGAAGGCGGCAUCCUGGACCGGUAUUGACGCUGAGGCGCGAAAGCCAGGGGAGCAAACGGG
rnacentral:rRNA from 1 species